UACGGGGGGGGCAAGCGUUGUUCGGAAUUACUGGGCGUAAAGGGCUCGUAGGUGGCCAACUAAGUCAGACGUGAAAUCCCUCAGCUUAACUGGGGAACUGCGUCUGAUACUGGAUGGCUUGAGUUUGGGAGAGGGAUGCGGAAUUCCCGGUGUAGCGGUGAAAUGCGCAGAUAUCGGGAGGAACACCGGUGGCGAAGGCGGUUCUCUGGGCCUGUACUGACGCUGAGGAGCGAAAGCGUGGGGAGCGAACAGG
rnacentral:rRNA from 1 species